rnacentral:misc_RNA from 1 species
AAGUCGUAACAAGGUCUCCGUAGGUGAACCUGCGGAGGGAUCAUUAACACGUGUAAAAACGUAUUGAACUAACUAUACCUAACAACCAAUACCGUGAACUAUGUUUUUUUAUUAUAACUAUGUUUUAUCUUUUAUUUUUACUAUUACUUUUUUCUCUUUCUUUCUUAGAGAGAGAGAAAAUGAUAGUAACAAUAAUAUAACCCUUUUCCAAUUUCUUAUUUUUUUGUUAUCGUAUUAUAUAGUUUUGUAAUGAAAUUAUAUGAUCAUACAUAUAUAAAAAAUCAAAAGCACAACUCUUAGCAACGGAUAUCUUGGUUCUC